AGAACGAACGCUGGCGGCAGGCUUAACACAUGCAAGUCGAACGCUCGUAGCAAUACGGGAGUGGCAGACGGGUGAGUAACACGUGGGAACGUCCCCCUCGGUUCGGAAUAACUCAGGGAAACUUGAGCUAAUACCGGAUACGUCCGAGAGGAGAAAGAUUUAUCGCCGAGGGAUCGGCCCGCGUCUGAUUAGCUAGUUGGUGAGGUAACGGCCCACCAAGGCGACGAUCAGUAGCUGGUCUGAGAGGAUGACCAGCCACACUGGGACUGAGACACGGCCCAGACUCCUACGGGAGGCAGCAGUGGGGAAUCUUGGACAAUGGGCGCAAGCCUGAUCCAGCCAUGCCGCGUGAGUGAUGAAGGCCUUAGGGUUGUAAAGCUCUUUCGACGGGGACGAUAAUGACGGUACCCGUAGAAGAAGCCCCGGCUAACUUCGUGCCAGCAGCCGC
rnacentral:rRNA from 1 species